rnacentral:rRNA from 1 species
UACAGAGGGUGCAAGCGUUAAUCGGAAUUACUGGGCGUAAAGCGUGCGUAGGCGGCCAACUAAGUCAGACGUGAAAUCCCUCGGCUUAACCGGGGAACUGCGUCUGAUACUGGAUGGCUUGAGAUUGGGAGAGGGAUGCGGAAUUCCAGGUGUAGCGGUGAAAUGCGUAGAUAUCUGGAGGAACACCGGUGGCGAAGGCGGCAUCCUGGACCGGUAUUGACGCUGAGGCGCGAAAGCCAGGGGAGCAAACGGG